GCUAAACUGGAAAAAAGGGAUCUCUUGCUGCGUUACAUGUGCAUCCAAGGGAGUAGAGCUAUACACACAGUUCACAGCCUCAUAGCAAUUACGUACACCAUCUCCGAUUCUCCGCCCUAAGUUUACACGAUCAACUCAAUUAACAGAGAGAGAAAAUGAGUGGAGCGGGAAAAAAGGUCGCUGACGUUGCAUUCAAGGCCGGCAGGACCAUCGACUGGGAAGGCAUGGCCAAGUUGUUGGUCUCCGACGAUGCCCGCAAAGAAUUCGCCACGCUCCGACGAGCAUUCGAUGAAGUGAACACCCAAUUGCAGACCAAGUUCAGCCAGGCACCAACCUUCUUUCUAUAGAUACGAAUGUUUAUAAAUUUAUGGGUAUUUGUAUGUGUGAAUCAUUUGGGGUUUGUUUUGGUUGAGUGCAGUACAGAUCUAUGGAGCUAAUAUUUUGUGGGAGUGAAACUGGGUUUUGAUGCUUGUAAGCUAGCGAUUAUGUUCGGUUGAGAUCCACAAUGAAAUUAAUGGAAUGGCGUAUUUAGUUUUAUGAGGGAUUGGGCUUAUUUCUUGUUAACCAUUUUCUGGGUUAUCUCUGAGGUGGGAUAAAAUGAUGGGGAAAAUAUUUCUUAUAUUUUAGUAAUUUUCUUACUCUCUUUGUUUUAUUGGACGGAAUUGAGGCCUUGAUUGAAAAUGUGAUUCAAAUUUACAGACUUUCAUUUCUAAUUCCAAUGUUGAGGCCGUAAGCCUAUCUAUGGAAAUGCAACUAUGUGUUUUCCUUGCUAAAAUCACUAACCAAAUGCAGUCUAUCAAUUGAAAUUCACUUGUCUGAAAUUAAAUUAGAAUAUGGGAAAUUGACAAAGAGAAAAUUGAAACAACUUUUUUUUUUUUUUUUUCACUUUAAAUCUGAUAUUUCAAAAUCGCAUGUUCAUAUGUCCGUUUAUGGGUUUUCCGAGCAGCGGGUCUUUAACAACUGAACCCAACAAAGUUAUAUUACUGUAAAGACUUCUUCUUUCUGUGUUAGCUUAGCUUUGGCAUUCAAAUUUAUGUGCGAGAAUGGAGGAAAAGUGGAAGUGUGGGUAUCAUUGGAACACAGAACUAAAAGCAGACUUAUUAAAUGUUAGAUGCAAACUGCACUUUAACAGUGACCGUCUUUGUGAAUGUGAAGUUGAAAUUGAAUAGCAUGGAAAGUGGUUUGCCUUGUGUGCUUCUGGAAGUCGUUAUUGAUGGCAAAUGAAUGUGAACCUGCAAAAUAUUUAUGUGCUCUACCACAUGCAAUUCUGCCGUGUGAUUUUGUCAAGCUGUUUCCUUAAUUUACAUUUUUACUUGAUGCAUGUCAAUGACUUUCUAGAUCUUGUACAAAUUAUUAAUCAUUUCGAUAGCACGUGUUUGCAGUAAUGUACAAUGGAAAUGGUACAUUUACUUAAUAUUCUUUAUAAAUGUUUAUACCACAUACACACUGACAUGACAAAUACUGUUUAUUGAGUUUUUACUUAACAGUUUUGUGAAAUGCCACGUGAUUGACCAACUUUUUUCCAGAUUAGAUUUUAACAUAAUAAAAUUUUGUAAGAUUUUCACGUUUCAAAAUAUCGUCUUCAGCCAUCAUUUAGGUCCAUAUGAAUUUUGAUUGUUAGAUCUUUUAAAAUUUCAGUUACUGUGAUUUUCCAAGCAUGCUAAGCCUAGAGGGAACAUAAAACUAUAGAUUAUUAGAUUUUUUUUAGUUUAAUUCGUUGUCGUUUUUUCUAGUGGAUGUUUAUGGUCCAACAUAGAAGAUUGCACUUUUAGACAACGAGGUAUUGCUAAUAGCAUCCAGAAUGUGCAAUGGUGCCACUUUCUUCCUUUUCUAAUGGCAAGUAGAAGAAAUACACGGGAACUGGACUUCUCAAACAAAUCUUUCUUUCUUGAAUAUGCAGGAACCAGAACCCGUAGACUGGGAGUAUUACAG
rnacentral:lncRNA from 1 species